AGCGUUAAUCGGAAUUACUGGGCGUAAAGCGAGCGCAGACGGUUACUUAAGCAGGAUGUGAAAUCCCCGGGCUCAACCUGGGAACUGCGUUCUGAACUGGGUAGCUAGAGUAUGUCAGAGGGGGGUAGAAUUCCACGUGUAGCAGUGAAAUGCGUAGAGAUGUGGAGGAAUACCGAUGGCGAAGGCAGCCCCCUGGGAUAAUACUGACGUUCAUGCUCGAAAGCGUGGGUAGCAAACAGGAUUAGAUACCCUGGUAGUCCACGCCCUAAACGAUGUCGAUUAGCUGUUGGGCAGCUUGACUGCUUAGUAGCGUAGCUAACGCGUGAAAUCGACCGCCUGGGGAGUACGGUCGCAAGAUUAAAACUCAAAGGAAUUGACGGGGACCCGCACAAGCGGUGGAUGAUGUGGAUUAAUUCGAUGCAACGCGAAAAACCUUACCUACGCUUGACAUGUCCGGAACCCUGAAGAGAUUUGGGGGUGCUCGAAAGAGAGCCGGAACACAGGUGCUGCAUGGCUGUCGUCAGCUCGUGUCGUGAGAUGUUGGGUUAAGUCCCGCAACGAGCGCAACCCUUGUCAUUAGUUGCCAUCAUUCAGUUGGGCACUCUAAUGAGACUGCCGGUGACAAACCGGAGGAAGGUGGGGAUGACGUCAAGUCCUCAUGGCCCUUAUGACCAGGGCUUCACACGUCAUACAAUGGUCGGUACAGAGGGUAGCCAAGCCGCGAGGUGGAGCCAAUCUCAGAAAACCGAUCGUAGUCCGGAUUGCACUCUGCAACUCGAGUGCAUGAAGUCGGAAUCGCUAGUAAUCGCAGGUCAGCAUACUGCGGUGAAUACGUUCCCGGGUCUUGUACACACCGCCCGUCACACCAUGGGAGUGGGGGAUACCAGAAGUAGGUAGGGUAACCGCAAGGAGCCCGCUUACCACGGUAUGCUUCAUGACUGGGGUGAAGUCGUAACAAGGUAGCCGUAGGGGAACCUGCGGCUG
rnacentral:rRNA from 1 species